GUGUGUGUGUCUUUAAAAGACUCUCCACCUCCCAGCCCGCCUCCUCACACUUUGCCACUGGGUUGUUCAGUCCCCAGGUUCCCUCAGUCCCCAGAAGGAGCCAGCAUGGACAAUCUGCUUUAUAGUUUUGGAAGCAGGUUUGUUGCCAUGGAGUUCACAUUUUGACUGGAGUUGAGAAGUAUAAAGACUAAAAACUAAAGCUUGCAGAGACCUCUGAAGGAAAACCUGUCCCGGGCUCUGUCACUUCACACCCAUGGCUAACCCUGGAGGUGGUACUGUUUGCAAUGGGAAACUUCACAAUCACAAGAAACAGAGCAAUGGCUUGCAAAGCAGAAACUGCACAAAGAAUGGAAUAGUGAAAGAAGCCCAG